rnacentral:rRNA from 1 species
UACGUAGGGCGCAAGCGUUGUCCGGAAUUAUUGGGCGUAAAGAGCUCGUAGGCGGCCAGUCGCGUCGGGUGUGAAAGACCGGGGCUUAACCCCGGUUCUGCAUUCGAUACGGGCUGGCUAGAGUGUGGUAGGGGAGAUCGGAAUUCCUGGUGUAGCGGUGAAAUGCGCAGAUAUCAGGAGGAACACCGGUGGCGAAGGCGGAUCUCUGGGCCAUUACUGACGCUGAGGAGUGAAAGCGUGGGGAGCGAACAGG